rnacentral:rRNA from 1 species
UACGUAGGGGGCAAGCGUUGUCCGGAAUCAUUGGGCGUAAAGCGCGUGUAGGCGGCUCGGGUAGUCUGGUGUGAAAUCUUUCGGCUCAACCGGAAGCGGUCACUGGAUACUCUCGGGCUUGAGUCCGGAAGAGGAGAGUGGAAUUCCUGGUGUAGCGGUGGAAUGCGCAGAUAUCAGGAGGAACACCAAUGGCGAAGGCAGCUCUCUGGGACGUGACUGACGCUAAGACGCGAAAGCGUGGGGAGCGAACAGG